UUGAAAGUUAGCGCUCGUCCUGUUCUCUUGUUCUUGUCCGCGUCGUCUAGCGCUAUGACCUCAUCUGAUAUGUCUAUUUGUCAGUUCUUGUCAAGGGUUGAUAAAAAAGAAUGAACUACAGUGACCAGCUGUGUGAUAGUCGAAUAACCUCUUCUGAACCCACGCUGAAAGUUAAAAUGGAAUGCUUCUUUAGAUAUGUUUGUAGGCUUUUUUCUAUGAUAUGUUCGAUGAGUUUGUGAUGAAAUUAAAGAAUUAGGACGGUAAAUUUCUACAAGUAGACGGUAGCUCUUUUUAUGAAUUGGUUGAGGAAUUGUUCCUGGACUUCAAAACAGGUGCGCAUGGUGCAAAAAAUACCAAGCAAAAUUGUUUUGUUACUAAGACUUCUUUAAGGGUGAACGAACUAUACUAACAAAGUUUACUUAGAAGCUAAAUAUAGCAAUAAUCCAGUAGAGGUCCUCACUCAGUCAUGACUGUUACAACGCAUAUCUGCUACUUUUAAUUCCUACAGAAGCCACUCAGUGGUGUAAUGAGCCAGUCUUCGCCAGCAGACAUGGUUGUAGAGGGGUACUUACAGCAUGGACAUGGCGACGCACGGGUGCAAACUAUAAUGCGACAUUUUGAAAGGAUAUUUUUCACUCCUUUUUAUUGGAAUAUGAAGAAUACGAAGCAGCGAAGUUAAAGUAAACUGGAUCAGAUAAAAACAUUUGCGCAUUAAUUAUUCUUUAUCCUGGCACUGUGUCCUAUCAAUUAUUUUGCAGAAUGACCUGCCUUUCCCAGAGUUCUUCACUGCAAACGCAUCUGCGUGUAAUGGAAAGCAUGCCACCCUGGAGAUUUUGAUACUACGACAAUGUCUUUUGCGCAAAAGUGAAAAAAAAAAAUAAUCAGGCGGCGUUACGCACAAGAAUAAUCCGAGAAAAAAGAAGACAAUGAAAGAAAAACCGCAAAGGUAAAAGGAAGCAGAAAGAUUUGUUCCGUGAGCAUUGUUUGAACAUGAAUAUAAGCGCAUGCGGGCGCGAACAACAUGUUUUCGAAAUGCAUGACUCUUCAAUAUGAGAAUAUUUUACCGUUCAAACCUUCUGCUUGCGUUAGCCGUUGUGGCCGCUGUUGUUGCGACGGUAGAAAAUCAAGUUCCUCCAUUUAGCCUUGCUGCUCCAUUUCUUACGUGUUGUCCCAAGCCAAGUCGUCAGAAGCGUCAACCUUCGAGGCAAGAAAUACCACAGUAUAUUCCUCACCCCGCUCCGGCAAACAUUCAUUCUGACCGAGGACUGCAAGCACAACAACAUAAAGCACAACGUGCGUCUAUGAAACGCGCAAACCAACACACGGGUACCAACGGAAAUAACGCACCUGUGAAGCCGCCUGGAAAUCGUAGGAGAGGCACUGGAAAUCGAAAGUCCCUGCCCUUGUUUUAAGGUCGCCCGAAAAGCGUAUAACCGACACACUGUUCUGUGCAGUUAGGUUUGGCAAAAUGGAAGAGCGAAAUAAAAAUUUACGCAUUUCUU